rnacentral:rRNA from 1 species
GGGUUGUGAGGUUAAGCGACUAAGCGUACACGGUGGAUGCCCUGGCAGUCAGAGGCGAUGAAGGCGUGCUAAUCUGCGAUAAGCGCCGGUAAGGUGAUAUGAACCGUUAUAACCGGCGAUCCGAAUGGGGAAACCCAGUGUGACUCGUCACACUAUCAUUAACUGAAUCCAUAGGUUAAUGAGGCGAACCGGGGGAACUGAAACAUCUAAGUACCCCGAGGAAAAGAAAUCAACCGAGAUUCCCCCAGUAGCGGCGAGCGAACGGGGAGGAGCCCAGAGCCUGAAUCAGCAUGUGUGUUAGUGGAAGCGUCUGGAAAGGCGCGCGAUACAGGGUGACAGCCCCGUACACAAAAGCGCAUGUGCUGUGAGCUCGAUGAGUAGGGCGGGACACGUGGUAUCCUGUCUGAAUAUGGGGGGACCAUCCUCCAAGGCUAAAUACUCCUGACUGACCGAUAGUGAACCAGUACCGUGAGGGAAAGGCGAAAAGAACCCCGGCGAGGGGAGUGAAAAAGAACCUGAAACCGUGUACGUACAAGCAGUGGGAGCACCCUUUUGGGUGUGACUGCGUACCUUUUGUAUAAUGGGUCAGCGACUUAUAUUCUGUAGCAAGGUUAACCGAAUAGGGGAGCCGGAGGGAAACCGAGUCUUAAUUGGGCGUUAAGUUGCAGGGUAUAGACCCGAAACCCGGUGAUCUAGCCAUGGGCAGGUUGAAGGUUGGGUAACACUAACUGGAGGACCGAACCGACUAAUGUUGAAAAAUUAGCGGAUGACCUGUGGCUGGGGGUGAAAGGCCAAUCAAACCGGGAGAUAGCUGGUUCUCCCCGAAAGCUAUUUAGGUAGCGCCUCGUGAAUUCAUCUCCGGGGGUAGAGCACUGUUUCGGCUAGGGGGCCAUCCCGGCUUACCAACCCGAUGCAAACUGCGAAUACCGGAGAAUGUUAUCACGGGAGACACACGGCGGGUGCUAACGUCCGUCGUGAAGAGGGAAACAACCCAGACCGCCAGCUAAGGUCCCAAAGUCAUGGUUAAGUGGGAAACGAUGUGGGAAGGCCCAGACAGCCAGGAUGUUGGCUUAGAAGCAGCCAUCAUUUAAAGAAAGCGUAAUAGCUCACUGGUCGAGUCGGCCUGCGCGGAAGAUGUAACGGGGCUAAACCAUGCACCGAAGCUGCGGCAGCGACACUAUGUGUUGUUGGGUAGGGGAGCGUUCUGUAAGCCUGUGAAGGUGUGCUGUGAGGCAUGCUGGAGGUAUCAGAAGUGCGAAUGCUGACAUAAGUAACGAUAAAGCGGGUGAAAAGCCCGCUCGCCGGAAGACCAAGGGUUCCUGUCCAACGUUAAUCGGGGCAGGGUGAGUCGACCCCUAAGGCGAGGCCGAAAGGCGUAGUCGAUGGGAAACGGGUUAAUAUUCCCGUACUUGGUGUUACUGCGAAGGGGGGACGGAGAAGGCUAUGUUGGCCGGGCGACGGUUGUCCCGGUUUAAGCGUGUAGG